rnacentral:rRNA from 1 species
AAUCCUUCGGGUGCGUUAAUGGGCGUCGAGCGGCGGACGGGUGAGUAAUGCCUAGGAAAUUGCCUUGAUGUGGGGGAUAACCAUUGGAAACGAUGGCUAAUACCGCAUAAUGCCUACGGGCCAAAGAGGGGGACCUUCGGACCUCUCGCGUCAAGAUAUGCCUAGGUGGGAUUAGCUAGUUGGUGAGGUAAUGGCUCACCAAGGCGACGAUCCCUAGCUGGUCUGAGAGGAUGAUCAGCCACACUGGAACUGAGACACGGUCCAGACUCCUACGGGAGGCAGCAGUGGGGAAUAUUGCACAAUGGGCGAAAGCCUGAUGCAGCCAUGCCGCGUGUAUGAAGAAGGCCUUCGGGUUGUAAAGUACUUUCAGUUGUGAGGAAGGGGGUAACGUUAAUAGCGUUAUCUCUUGACGUUAGCAACAGAAGAAGCACCGGCUAACUCCGUGCCAGCAGCCGCGGUAAUACGGAGGGUGCGAGCGUUAAUCGGAAUUACUGGGCGUAAAGCGCAUGCAGGUGGUUCAUUAAGUCAGAUGUGAAAGCCCGGGGCUCAACCUCGGAACUGCAUUUGAAACUGGUGAACUAGAGUGCUGUAGAGGGGGGUAGAAUUUCAGGUGUAGCGGUGAAAUGCGUAGAGAUCUGAAGGAAUACCAGUGGCGAAGGCGGCCCCCUGGACAGACACUGACACUCAGAUGCGAAAGCGUGGGAGCAAACAGGAUUAGAUACCCUGGUAGUCCACGCCGUAAACGAUGUCUACUUGGAGGUUGUGGCCUUGAGCCGUGGCUUUCGGAGCUAACGCGUUAAGUAGACCGCCUGGGGAGUACGGUCGCAAGAUUAAAACUCAAAUGAAUUGACGGGGGCCCGCACAAGCGGUGGAGCAUG